GGGCGCUUGGCACAGUGGUAGCGCGCCUGCUUUGCACUACGUAAUUGAAUUACGUAAUUCCGCAUGCAUGAGGUCGAGGGUUCAAACCCCUCAGCGUCCA